UAUUCCCCACUGCUGCCUCCCGUAGGAGUCUGGGCCGUAUCUCAGUCCCAAUGUGGCCGUUCAACCUCUCAGUCCGGCUACUGAUCGUCGACUUGGUGGGCCGUUACCCCACCAACUAUCUAAUCAGACGCGAGCCCAUCUUUCAGCGAUAAAAUCUUUGAUGACCGGAUCAUGCGGUCCAGUCAUUUCAUGCGGUAUUAGCGGUCGUUUCCAACCGUUGUCCCCCUCUGAAAGGCAGGUUGCUCACGCGUUACUCACCCGUCCGCCACUAAGCUAUGUCGUCCGCUCCGAAGAACUUCGUAACAUAACUCCGUUCGACUUGCAUGUGUUAGGCACGCCGCCAGCGUUCAUCCUGAGCCAA
rnacentral:rRNA from 1 species